AACGCUAGCUACAGGCUUAACACAUGCAAGUCGAGGGGCAGCAUGGUCUUAGCUUGCUAAGACUGAUGGCGACCGGCGCACGGGUGAGUAACACGUAUCCAACCUGCCGUCUACUCUUGGACAGCCUUCUGAAAGGAAGAUUAAUACAAGAUGGCAUCAUGAGUCCGCAUGUUCACAUGAUUAAAGGUAUUCCGGUAGACGAUGGGGAUGCGUUCCAUUAGAUAGUAGGCGGGGUAACGGCCCACCUAGUCUUCGAUGGAUAGGGGUUCUGAGAGGAAGAUCCCCCACAUUGGAACUGAGACACGGUCCAAACUCCUACGGGAGGCAGCAGUGAGGAAUAUUGGUCAAUGGGCGAGAGCCUGAACCAGCCAAGUAGCGUGAAGGAUGACUGCCCUAUGGGUUGUAAACUUCUUUUAUAAAGGAAUAAAGUCGGGUAUGCAUACCCGUUUGCAUGUACUUUAUGAAUAAGGAUCGGCUAACUCCGUGCCAGCAGCCGCGGUAAUACGGAGGAUCCGAGCGUUAUCCGGAUUUAUUGGGUUUAAAGGGAGCGUAGAUGGAUGUUUAAGUCAGUUGUGAAAGUUUGCGGCUCAACCGUAAAAUUGCAGUUGAUACUGGAUAUCUUGAGUGCAGUUGAGGCAGGCGGAAUUCGUGGUGUAGCGGUGAAAUGCUUAGAUAUCACGAAGAACUCCGAUUGCGAAGGCAGCCUGCUAAGCUGCAACUGACAUUGAGGCUCGAAAGUGUGGGUAUCAAACAGGAUUAGAUACCCUGGUAGUCCACACGGUAAACGAUGAAUACUCGCUGUUUGCGAUAUACGGCAAGCGGCCAAGCGAAAGCGUUAAGUAUUCCACCUGGGGAGUACGCCGGCAACGGUGAAACUCAAAGGAAUUGACGGGGGCCCGCACAAGCGGAGGAACAUGUGGUUUAAUUCGAUGAUACGCGAGGAACCUUACCCGGGCUUAAAUUGCAGAUGAAUUACGGUGAAAGCCGUAAGCCGCAAGGCAUCUGUGAAGGUGCUGCAUGGUUGUCGUCAGCUCGUGCCGUGAGGUGUCGGCUUAAGUGCCAUAACGAGCGCAACCCUUGUUGUCAGUUACUAACAGGUUCCGCUGAGGACUCUGACAAGACUGCCAUCGUAAGAUGUGAGGAAGGUGGGGAUGACGUCAAAUCAGCACGGCCCUUACGUCCGGGGCUACACACGUGUUACAAUGGGGGGUACAGAGGGCCGCUACCACGCGAGUGGAUGCCAAUCCCCAAAACCUCUCUCAGUUCGGACUGGAGUCUGCAACCCGACUCCACGAAGCUGGAUUCGCUAGUAAUCGCGCAUCAGCCGCGGCGCGGUGAAUACGUUCCCGGGCCUUGUACACACCGCCCGUCAAGCCAUGGGAGCCGGGGGUACCUGAAGUGCGUAACCGCGAGGAGCGCCCUAGGGUAAAACUGGUGACUGGGGCUAAGUC
rnacentral:rRNA from 1 species